AGGAACGAGAACUUUUCCAAAUGUGGUGCCUUGAAGAUCUGGAAGGGCAUCAGUGACAGAGGAAGAAGGUGCCGGCUCAGACUCAAAAUCUGGACUUCCUUGCCUGGAUGCGUUACUCAAGGGCAGCUGGAACGACUCUCAAAUAUCCUAGUUCCCUCAUGGCGGGGAGCGGGAGGACCCUGCCGAGGUCUACAUGUUUUCCCUUGAAGUUGCUACAGCACCUGAAAUGCUUAUGAAUCUUCCAGUACUUUAAAAGCUCCCCAGGUAAUUCUCCUGUGGAGCCAAGCUUGAGAUCUCCUGGCGAGGCCAAGAGGAGGAACCUGAGAAUCAGGAGACCUGAAGCCAAAACCACCACUGAGUCAUCCUGCGAUCUUGGGCAAGUCAGUGAUUUCUCUGGCCUCGUUUUCUCAUCUGCAAAUUGGGAAUUCAGAAGUGGAGGGUUUGUUCCUAAGACCCAUUCCACAGGACUGACCCUGUUUGAAACAUCACUAGGCAUUCCCGGGUUCGGGUGGGUAGUGGGCACCUGGCUUGGGUCUGCUCUUUUCCUGACAGGUAGGGGGGAAGAGCCACCGAUCGCUCAGGCUUUCCUGUUCUUCCCACAUGUCCUUCUGCCCUCCCUUUUGCGCUGUCACCAGCCUCAGGAGGCAGCUAGGAGCUGUUGCGGCAGCGGGCGGGCUCCCUGCCCAUUUCAGGCUGCCGAGCUGGAGAGGGAUCUUGGGAGCCAUGGGCUGGGGCUGCUUUCAUGUCUCUGGAGAUGAUCUCUUUCAAGAAUGAAGGCGCUAUGCCCUUUGCAUUUUCUUGUCAGAAUCUCAUGCUGCAUUUUUGAGAGUACAUGUAGGAAUAUAUAAUUAAUGGUGAAAAAUAAACAUAAAUGCUGUUUCCCUGGUACUUAGCUGAGUGCUCUGGAGGAGCGGGACUCUCG